GUAGAGGACAGUAGAGGACAGUAGAGGACAGUAGAGGACAGUAGAGGUGAAGAGAGGACAGUAGAGGUGAAGAGAAGACAGUAGAGGACAGUAGAGGUGAAGAGAAGACAGUAGAGGUGAAGAGAGGACAGUAGAGGUGAAGAGAGGACAGUGGAGGACAGCAGAGGUGAAGAGAGGACAGUAGAGGUGAAGAGAGGACAGUAGAGGACAGUAGAGGUGAAGAGAGGACAGUAAAGGACAGUAGAGGUGAAGAGAGGACUGUAGAGGACAGUAGAGGUGAAGAGAGGACAGUAGAGUACAGUAGAGGACAGUAGAGGUGAAGAGAGGACAGUAGAGGACAGUAGAGGACAGUAGAGGUGAAGAGAGGACAGUAGAGGUGAAUAGAAGACAGUAGAGGACAGUAGAGGACAGUAGAGGACAGGAGAUGACAAGAGAUGACAAGAGAGGACAGUAGAGGUGAAGAGAGGACAGUAGAGGUGAAGAGAGGGUAGGAGGAAAGUAGAGAAGGGAGUACAACAGGAGGGGGGCUUGGCUGCAGUAUAGUGUCUUACUCAGCUCAUCUGCCCAUACAGACAUUUCCACAGCAGCCCUGUGG
ensembl:lncRNA